AAUUAACAAACUUAACAAAUCAUGAUUUGGACUACAUUGUGAGAUUGUAAGUCUCCGGCAUGAACAAGUUUGGAUUGGCAGAG